UACGUAGGGCGCAAGCGUUAUCCGGAAUUAUUGGGCGUAAAGAGCUCGUAGGCGGUUUGUCGCGUCUGCCGUGAAAGUCCGGGGCUCAACUCCGGAUCUGCGGUGGGUACGGGCAGACUAGAGUGAUGUAGGGGAGACUGGAAUUCCUGGUGUAGCGGUGAAAUGCGCAGAUAUCAGGAGGAACACCGAUGGCGAAGGCAGGUCUCUGGGCCGAUACUGACACUGAGGAGCGAAAGUGUGGGGAGCGAACAGG
rnacentral:rRNA from 1 species